CCGAGACCAAUAGGCGGGCUGCGGGGCGGGCCGGGGGGGCACUGCUCUCGGGUUGUGGAGCCGAAGACGGACCCCUUAGAUUUCGGGGCGGCUGGGAAGAGCUGCGGCCGUUCGGCGGCAAAGUAGGGGCGGAAAAAAAGGUGACGGCGCCUCGAGGUGCCAAACCGCCAUGACUAGCAGCCGCCGCCUCGGCGUUAUUCCCGGGGGUGGGGCCGCAGAUAUUAAGGCAUGAUUUGAAUGAAUGGAAGUGCCACAUAAAGAAUUUAACACUUAAGCAAAACAGUGGUAAAGAUAAUAUUUAUCAAUAAAUUCACUUCAUCAAAUUUUUUAAGGAAAAUGCUUCAUGUUUUAGAUUUUGACAUGUGACAUCAGUCUUUUUAAAAAAGCCACAGGAGUCCUAGAUUUCCAUUCUUAUUUUAAUAUCUUGUUGCUCAUAAGAGACCUUUGAAUAGAUUGUUAUUCCUUUCUUUAUAAUGUAUCACAUUCAGGAAAUGCCACAAAGUGAAUCUGAGAAGUUGCCCUGUUUUGGGUUUUGUUUUGUUUUUAAACACUGGUAAAUGGAGAAAAUUGUAAGAGGUUGCUUAUAAAGUCUUUUUUUUUUCUUAAGUCUUUCUUCUUUAAAUGAAAGUCAAGUGGUAACAGGCAUGUUUGGGAAGCUAGAAGAAUUGUUAAGUGAUGGCUUUAUUCUCUGUGUAAACACUAACAGGAUGGAAACAAAGGAUUUUGAUUUCUAGAACUCUUUUUUGAACCAUUCCAAUAAAAGUUGAUUUUCAUUAUUAUUAAGUUCCAACCCAAAAAUUGCAUUUUGAGGUCUCUUUUAUAAUUCAUAUUAGGAAAGCUAAAGUGAAAAAAUAUUUUUUAAAUGCCUACUAUGUGCCAGGCUGUGUGCUCAGAUAUUAUCAUUUGGUUCUUACAAUCCCCUGAGAGUUGUAGAGCUAGGGAUAAAAUCUCCAAGCUUAGUAAUGUUAUCACAUUCUCUCGACAUUUGGAAACAAUCUCCUCCCUCUGUGUAAACAUCUUCAUUCCUUCUCUCUAAAUAUGAAUCACCUUAGUGAUUUCAUUUUUAUUUGUUAAUUGGGAAAAACAUAGCUACUUUAACUGACAUAAGAAUUGUAUUUUUUAAAUGAGUUCCUUCUUAUUGUAAGGGCCAAAAUUUUCUUCCUUUAUAUACUAGAAAUAUUCAUGAAAAUUAUUUUUAUUGAGGCUUUGUUUUAUUAGCUCAUAAGCUAUUUUAUGGAAAAGCAAAUGCUAAUUGAAGGCAAACAUAAGAAAAUAUGAUGAUCAAGUUUGAAUAUUCAAUUCAGGUGGCAUUUUUAAAGAACUUUUCUGUGAGUAAGAUACUGCUAAGUCUUGGCAAUAAAAAUUUGAGACAGAUCCUGCCCUUAAGGAGUUUACAUUCUUCCAGGAAAAAACAACAUAUGCCUAGAUAAAUAAAUAGAGAAUACAAAGUCUAGAUGGGCAUCACUAAUAUCUGGGAGAACCAUAAAAAGCCUCUUGUAGGAGGCAGCACUUGAACUGAAUCUUGAAGGGAGCUAAUGAUGCUAAGAUGUGAAGUGAGGAGAGAGAAUAUUAGGGGUAGGGUUCAGCCUGAGCCAAGACCUGGAAGUGGGAGAUGCAAUGUCCCUCAAGACACACAAAUCCUGGUCCUUAUGGGAAUCCUGUUUCCUGGGGGAUCUUGUCUCCCUAGUUCAGGUAAGACUGGUAACUGGAAUAAAGAGUAUGUUAAUAGGAAAUUGAAUCUGAAUGGGAGCAUCUACUAAAGAAAUCUUGCAACUUUGGCCUUUGUUUACCAUUUGACAUAAAAAAAUUUUGCUCUUUUUACUAUUUAUAUCCUUAUGAAAUAUUUGAAUUGUCAUUGUAGAUACACAUGUAGAUGCAGAUAAAUUGUAGAUGCAUGUAGAUGACCUGCAGGUCAUCAAAGCUAAGUAAAUUAAUGUAAACCUAGAAUACUUAAAAAAAAAGAAAAAAGCUGUUCCCUCAUUUUUCCAGCCUAGGUAAUGAAAUAGAUUGAGUCCUGGACCUACAGUCAGAAAGAUCUGAAUGCAAAUUUAACCACAAAUAUUAUUUGCUGUGUGAUUCUGGGCAAGUCACCAAAAAAUAAAAUCUGAUGGUUCAGUUUCCCCUCUGUAAAACAAGGGUUAUAAUAGCACCUAUAAAAUGAAAUAAAAUUUGUAAAAUACCUCACAAACUUUAAAAUUCUGCAUAAACAUUGCUACUAUUCUUCUAUGACUCCACAAAAAAACAACUUGACUCCAUUCCUUAAUAUCUCUAGAAAAAGAGGUUUAAUCAUCUCCUUUGGAAACAAGUGCCAGCAUUUUAUAAUAUUUGAAGUCAGAAAGGUGAAGUCAAAAUACUAUUUAGUGGGUACUAUGACAAGAUAAAAACCUAGAGGCAAACACCUAACCUGGUGAAAGAUUUCUUUUUACCAAGUUGACAAGAUUACUUUACACAUAUGACUUUAAAUCUCUUUUCUAUUUGCUUCUCCAGACUAAAUUAGCUCAAUUCCUUUAAACUUUUUUUAAAAAUAAGGUUGUUUUCAUAUUGUUUUUCUCUUUAUUGCAUUGAAGCUAAUCUCUAGACACAUGCUGUUAGGAAAUGUAAAAUGUAUUAUAUUGCUAUCCACAGGUUAUGUACAUUUUUGUGCUUUGUAUUUCUGAAAGUUAGUCUGUUUGCUGUAGCUGCAUUGUUUGAACCUUGUGUUGUUGUUAAUUAUUUGCAGAUGCAGAAAGAGAACAAAACUAAUGUAUAUCACACGAUGGGGCUGGGAUCUGCUGGAACCUGAAUUAUCUUUGCCUUGUUUAUUUUGUGAUUAUUAGAUUGUUUAAGUUUAAGCACAGAGACUGGCCUUUUUCCUUCCCUUUCCAUAUUACUUUGUAAACAUGGGACUAAUAAUUCAUUUUCAUUUAACUUAAUAAUAAUCUUCCCAUUUCAUAUUUUAUAAACAGUCACCAUUUCAUUUGCACUAAUGGUAAUAAAUUUUUCUUUCCAUUUGCA